rnacentral:rRNA from 1 species
GACGAACGCUGGCGGCGUGCUUAACACAUGCAAGUCGAACGAAGUGGCGAACGGGUGAGUAACGCGUAAUCAACCUGCCCUUCAGAGGGGGACACCAGUUGGAAACGACUGCUAAUACCGCAUACUGAAGGAGGGGAUUGCGUGUGAUUAGCUAGUUGGAGGGGUAACGGCCCACCAAGGCGAUGAUCAGGAGCCGGGCUGAGAGGAUGAACGGCCAAAUUGGGACUGGGACACGGCCCAGACGCCCACGGGAGGCAGCAGGGGGGAAGCUGCCGCAAUGGACGAAAGGCUGACGGAGCAACGCCGCGGGAGGGAUGACGGCCUGCGGGUUGGAAAGCUCUGUUAAUCGGGACGCGGUACCGGAAUAGAAAGCCACGGCUAACUACGUGCCAGCAGCCGCGGUAAUAC